GCCAGUGUGGCGUAGUGCUUUGAGUGUUGGACUGAAACUCUGGAGACCAAGGUUCAAUUCUCCGCUCAGCCA